CCCUUAGAUGUUCUGGGCCGCACGCGUGCUACACUGAGUGGAUCAGCGGGUCAGGUUGCGCGAAAGCGUUUCCUAAUCUUUAAAUCCGCUCGUGAUGGGGAUUGACGGUUGCAAUUUUCUGUCAUGAACGAGGAAUACCUUGUAAGCGCGGGUCAUCAUCCCGCGCUGAAUACGUCCCUGCCCUUUGUACACACCGCCCGUCGCUCCUACCGAUUGAGUGGUCCGGUGAGGCUUUGGGAUUGUGGUUCUUGCCGCUUUAUUGUGGCGUGACCGCGAGAACUUGUCUAAACCUUAUCAUCUAGAGGAAGGUGAAGUCGUAACA
rnacentral:rRNA from 1 species